ACGCUGGCGGCAGGCCUAACACAUGCAAGUCGAGCGGUAGAGAGAAGCUUGCUUCUCUUGAGAGCGGCGGACGGGUGAGUAAUGCCUAGGAAUCUGCCUGGUAGUGGGGGAUAACGUCCGAAAACGGACGCUAAUACCGCAUACGUCCUACGGGAGAAAGCAGGGGACCUUCGGGCCUUGCGCUAUCAGAUGAGCCUAGGUCGGAUUAGCUAGUUGGUGGGGUAAUGGCUCACCAAGGCGACGAUCCGUAACUGGUCUGAGAGGAUGAUCAGUCACACUGGAACUGAGACACGGUCCAGACUCCUACGGGAGGCAGCAGUGGGGAAUAUUGGACAAUGGGCGAAAGCCUGAUCCAGCCAUGCCGCGUGUGUGAAGAAGGUCUUCGGAUUGUAAAGCACUUUAAGUUGGGAGGAAGGGCAGUAAAUUAAUACUUUGCUGUUUUGACGUUACCGACAGAAUAAGCACCGGCUAACUCUGUGCCAGCAGCCGCGGUAAUACAGAGGGUGCAAGCGUUAAUCGGAAUUACUGGGCGUAAAGCGCGCGUAGGUGGUUCGUUAAGUUGGAUGUGAAAUCCCCGGGCUCAACCUGGGAACUGCAUUCAAAACUGACGAGCUAGAGUAUGGUAGAGGGUGGUGGAAUUUCCUGUGUAGCGGUGAAAUGCGUAGAUAUAGGAAGGAACACCAGUGGCGAAGGCGACCACCUGGACUGAUACUGACACUGAGGUGCGAAAGCGUGGGGAGCAAAC
rnacentral:rRNA from 1 species